GGGGAGGAGCUUAAACUGAACGCCACUCUGAAGAAUGACCCUGAAACCAAGGUUACCACCAUUACAUGCUCUGUCCACCAGUUCCAGUACCCUUUGAAACAGUUGGAGUACUCUGCUCCCAUCUAUCUACAAAGAGGUUCCCGUCGCGUCGACACUGCUCCCAUCCUCAGACUGCAGCUAUAUGACUGUUCAGUGGGCCAGUCUGACUGUAGCCAGUGCAGAGCGGUGUCUUCUGGGUACGGCUGUGUCUGGUGUGGUGGAGAGACGCCAGGCUGUGUCUACAAUCUCUCCUGUAGCAGCUCACCUG